rnacentral:rRNA from 1 species
UACAGAGGUCUCAAGCGUUGUUCGGAUUCAUUGGGCGUAAAGGGUGCGUAGGUGGCGCUGUAAGUCGGGUGUGAAAUUUCGGAGCUUAACUCCGAAACUGCAUUCGAUACUGCGGUGCUUGAGGACUGCAGAGGAGACUGGAAUUCCCGGUGUAGCGGUGAAAUGCGUAGAUAUCGGAAGGAACACCGGUGGCGAAGGCGGAUGCCUGGCCCAAUACUGACGCUGAGGCACGAAAGCGUGGGUAGCGAACAGG